CCUACGGGUGGCAGCAGUGAGGAAUAUUGGUCAAUGGGCGGAAGCCUGAACCAGCCAAGUCGCGUGCAGGAUGACGGCUCUACGGGUUGUAAACUGCUUUUAUACGGGAAUAACGCGCCUUAUGUGUAGGGCUUUGCAUGUACCGUAUGAAAAAGCAUCGGCUAACUCUGUACCAGCAGCCGCGGUAAUACGGAGGAUGCGAGCGUUAUCCGGAUGUAUUGGGUUUAAUGGGUGCGUAGGCGGAGUGUAAAGCCAGCGGUAAAAUUUCGGGGCGCAACCCCGUCGUGCCGUUGAAACUGACGCCCUUGAGUGAGUGAGAAGUAAGCGGAAUGCGUGGUGUAGCGGUGAAAUGCAUAGAUAUCACGCAGAACGCCGAUUGCGAAGGCAGCUUACCGGCGCUCAACUGACGCUGAGGCACGAAAGUGCGGGUAUCGAACAGGAUUAGAUACCCGGGUAGUC
rnacentral:rRNA from 1 species